GCAGAGCACUCCGUACGGGAGGCAGCAGUGGGGAAUAUUGCACAAUGGGCGCAAGCCUGAUGCAGCCAUGCCGCGUGUAUGAAGAAGGCCUUCGGGUUGUAAAGUACUUUCAGCAGUGAGGAAGGUGGGUAUGUUAAUAGCAUACUCAUUUGACGUUAGCUGCAGAAGAAGCACCGGCUAACUCCGUGCCAGCAGCCGCGGUAAUACGGAGGGUGCGAGCGUUAAUCGGAAUUACUGGGCGUAAAGCGCAUGCAGGUGGUUUGUUAAGUCAGAUGUGAAAGCCCGGGGCUCAACCUCGGAAUUGCAUUUGAAACUGGCAAACUAGAGUACUGUAGAGGGGGUAGAAUUUCAGGUGUAGCGGUGAAAUGCGUAGAGAUCUGAAGGAAUACCGGUGGCGAAGGCGGCCCCCUGGACAGAUACUGACACUCAGAUGCGAAAGCGUGGGGAGCAAACAGGAUUAGAUACCCUGGUAG
rnacentral:rRNA from 1 species